rnacentral:rRNA from 1 species
AGAGAUGUGUGAUGACGCAUAUCAAUAAGCGGAGGAAAAGAAACUAACUAGGAUUCCUUAGUAACGGCGAGUGAAGCGGGAAGAGCUCAAAUUUGAAUCUUCAAGGUUCUACCUUGACGAAUUGUAGUUUAUAAGAAGUGUUUUCUGUUAGUAGAGUUGGCUAAAAGUUCUUUGGAAUAGGACAUCAUAGAGGGUGAGAAUCCCGUAUUUGGUCAUUCCUUCCUAGCGUUGUGAUACACUUUCAACGAGUCGGAUUGUUUGGGAAUGCAGUCCAAAAUGGGUGGUAAAUUUCAUCUAAAGCUAAAUAUUGGCGAGAGACCGAUAGCGAACAAGUACCGUGAGGGAAGGAUGAAAAGAACUUUGAGAAGAGAGUUAAACAGUACGUGAAAUUGUCAAAAGGGAAGCGUUUGACACCAGUGUUGUUUUUCCGAAAAUCAAUUACGAAUGUUUUAUUUUUGAGAAGUUAUGACUUCAUCGGCUUGCUUCUCUCUUUAUGAAACUUUCUUAAUGCACUCUUCGGUUAACAAGUCAACAUCAAUUUCUUUUGUUGUAAAAGGGUAUGAGGAAGGUGGCUUUCUUUUCGGAGAAAGUGUUUAUAGCCUUGUACCUCUGCAAUCGGAGAGAUUGAGGUCUGCAGCGUAGAUCCUUCGGGGUUAGAUACAUUUGUGCUAAGUUAUAGCUUUUCAUAGACAACUUGUUGACUAUGUUUAGUCUUGUAGCUUACUCGCUUAUGCUAUUUUACCUACGCUUAGGAUGUUGACAGCAGUAUAGACUGU